rnacentral:tRNA from 1 species
GCGCCAGUAGCUCAGCUGGAUAGAGCAACUGCCUUCUAAGCAGUGGGCCAGGGGUUCGAGUCCCUUCUGGCGUGCCA